rnacentral:rRNA from 1 species
GCAACGCGAANGAACCUUACCAGGUCUUGACAUGUAGCGGACCGGGGCAGAGAUGCCCUUUCUCUUCGGAGCCGCUUCACAGGUGCUGCAUGGCUNGUCGUCAGCUCNGUGUCGUGAGAUGUUCGGUUAAGUCCGUCAACGAGCGCAACCCCUGUCCUUAGUUGCCAGCAUUCAGUUGGGGACUCUAAGGAGACAAUCCCGCAUUUGCGGGAGGGAAGGUGGGGAUGAUGUCAAGUCAGUAUGGCCCUUACGACCUGGGCUGCACACGUGCUACAAUGCCCGGUACAAUGGGACGCCACUUCGCGAGAAGGAGCCAAUCCCCAAAGCCGGGCCCAGUUCGGAUUGAAGUCUGCAACUCGACUUCAUGAAGCCGGAAUCGCUAGUAAUGGCGCAUCAGCAAUGGCGCCGUGAAUACGUUCCCGGGGAUUGUACACACCGCCCGUCACAUCAUGAAAGCCGUUUUGCCCGAAGUACGUGCGCUACCC